rnacentral:sRNA from 1 species
CUCCCAAAAGCCUGUGUGAUGUGCUAUCUAUGGAUUUCCCUUUUGAGGUAGAUGGACUUCUCUUCUACCACAAACAGACCCACUACAGCCCCGGAAGCACUCCCUUGGUGGGCUGGCUGCGCCCCUACAUGGUGUCAGAUGUCCUUGGUGUAGCUGUGCCGGCUGGCCCGCUGACCACCAAGCCAGACUAUGCUGGGCACCAGCUCCAGCAGAUUAUGGAGCACAAGAAGAGCCAGAAGGAAGGCAUGAAGGAGAAACUCACACACAAGGCCUCUGAGAAUGGGCACUAUGAGUUGGAGCACCUGUCUACUCCCAAGUUGAAGGGUUCUUCCCAUAGCCCAGACCACCCUGGAUGCCUCAUGGAGAAUUAAAGAGAGAAGCCUCCUUAAGGAGCCACAGGAUGGUACCUGGCCCCAAAAGGAAUCCUGGAGAGGAGGACAGUGACAACAGGAAAUGGAUCCCACUUCCUGUGGCUUCAGUCAGCUCCCACAUUGCUUCCCAUCUUUCUAGGACUCUGUCAUGGAUACAAGUACUUCAGCAGCACUAGUGUCCUGUGGACAAAUUUUCACAGGGAUCCAGGCUACCAAGCAGUUUCUCGAAGAGAUUAACAAGUGGACAGUUCAGUACAAUGUUUCCCCGCUGUCUUGGAAUGUGGCUGUCAA